rnacentral:rRNA from 1 species
UACGUAGGGUGCAAGCGUUGUCCGGAAUUAUUGGGCGUAAAGAGCUCGUAGGCGGUUUGUCGCGUCUGCUGUGAAAACCCGAGGCUCAACCUCGGGCCUGCAGUGGGUACGGGCAGACUAGAGUGCGGGUAGGGGAGAUUGGAAUUCCUGGUGUAGCGGUGGAACGCGCAGAUAUCAGGAGGAACACCAAUGGCGAAGGCAGAUCUCUGGGCCGUAACUGACGCUGAAGGAGCGAAAAGCAUGGGGGAGCGAACAGG